GCAGGAGCUGGGUGCUGCCUCCUGAGAGCACAACCUGCCACGCUGCAAAAGGGUCCUGGAAAAUGCUGAGUCCAUGGAAGUCAUGCUGCUGUCCUGUGGGAUGUGCGUGCUUUGCUGGAGUACAUAUGCAAAACUUUCAGCUCAGAGGUAUUUUUCCAAAGAAAAUUAUCUUCAGCUGUGGUCAUCGGUGAUUUGGGAGCCCCUGCCAGUGAGAUUUUGCCUUGAGCUGAUUGCCUUGGCUGAGCAACUGAAGAGCAGCUGGAAGCUGGCCAGAAAUGACUUUUGAUUUUUGCUUUUAAAAGAAAAAGAAAUAGAAGAAGAGAACCAAACUAGCAUGCUUUGGUAAGGCAGAGGGGUUUUGUGAUUAUUCUCCCUGAGAAGCGAGACUUCCCUUCGGAGGGGACUGACUCUGGGAAGUGAAGAAGAAGCAAAAGGUGGUCGCUGAAAUGAGAGUUUCCCUGUGGCUGAGCCAUCGUGGAGCUUUGGAGGAACUGACCAUUCCUUCACCCCAGCAUUGGUCAGCCCUUUGCUGGCUGCCCAUGCCCCCCACACCUACCAGAGCUGCUCCAGUUUGGUGUUUCUGCUCCUGUUAAAAAACCCCCACAUGGAGCAGGCUGGUGGAACAAACAAUCCCUGCUUUAGUCAGGUAAUUUCCAGGGUGUGUGGUGGGCAGCAGAGGAAGCUGCCAGGCUACUCCUGCCACUGGGAUGGAGGGCUGCAGCACCAUUAGGUGCCACUAUCACUUUCUGGAUAGUGUGUACACUUUCACCAUCACAUAGUUUUUCUCCUUCAUUUUUCAUGAGAACUGGCAUUAGAUUAAUGGUUAAGCCAUGGAAGAAAUGUAACACCAUGCCAGUCUGAUUUAUUGACCACUUAGUGCUGAUGAAGCUUCAAACAAGAGUCAGACAGAUGUUGCAGUUGCAUUUUUCUUCAUCAAAACCCACGACUUUUUGCGUUUAACCACUUGUUGCACCAUCUCCUGCUCGCCCCCCAGCAGCAGUGGAGGGAGUUCUUCUGCCACACUGAGGAGGCAGGAGAAGCCAAGCAGCCUUGUCCAGGUCAGGGACAGAUGGCAGCGCCUUCACCUCGGGUGUGGGGGAAGCAGAACAACUCCACUGAGGCUCCAGGCACUGGAAUGAGGGGCGGAUUUGCAGCAGGAAUGUUUCCAGAGCCAUCUGCAGCCCAGUUCAGGGCUCCCCUUGUCCCCCUCUGCCACCCCAGUGAAGGGUUUCUGCCCUGGUGUGUCCACUAUCCUGACACCUUUCCUGCGUGGAAGUUAUAUUUGAAUUUUUUCUUUUAGUCUUUCAUAUCUCUCUUGCUCUCCUGGUAGGUCGUCACAAAUAGUAAUUUGCUACUAAUUAUGUUUUCCAAAGCAUAUGUAUUCUCUUCAUUCGUGUCAAAACAUUUCAAUUCACCAAGUAGAUUGGCAUUCAUGAGAUUUGUCAGUCUGGGGUCAACUUUUAAAUGUAGGUAUAAGGAACAAACGUGUUUGUGUUUAUUUUAUAUGCUUUCAUAUAUAGAAACUAUAAUUUCCAGUGGCAGACCAAUGCUGAGAUCCACUUGCUUGUGCUGCACUGUGGCCAGGAAGCCCCAUAAUCCUGAUCUGCUUGGUGACAAAUCAGCACUGUCAGGCUGUGAAAAACACACCUGAGAGGAAGGUAGAAGCACCUGCAGAACUGUCCCGUCACCCAGUGCUGUGUCCUUGCUCCCUUCUUUGAAACUUCCCUGGGAGCAAGAGGUGUAUUUACAUGAAAUCUCUGAAGCAUAUUACUUUUUA